rnacentral:pre_miRNA from 1 species
UACGAGUAAAUUUCUAUGCAGUUGAAACGUUUAGCUACGUUUGCCGCUAGGGGCGCUAUUCCAACUGCAUACAAAUUUGAGUUA